rnacentral:misc_RNA from 1 species
AAAGUCGUAACAAGGUUUCCGUAGGUGAACCUGCGGAAGGAUCAUUCAUAAUAAGUGUUCUAUGGCACUUCUUAAAUCCAUACCCACCUUGUGUGCAAUGUUAUCUCUCAGCGUCGGUUCAGGUUCGCCUGGCCUGUUGAGGGAUUCUACAUCAACUCUUAAUUUAACAUUUUUGUCUGAACACUAUUUCGAAUAACUAAUUCAAAAUACAACUUUCAACAACGGAUCUCUUGGCUCUC